rnacentral:rRNA from 1 species
CUACGGGUUGCAGCAGUGAGGAAUAUUGCACAAUGGGGGGAACCCUGAUGCAGCAACGCCGCGUGGAGGAUGACGCAUUUCGGUGUGUAAACUCCUUUUAUAUGUCAAGAAAAUGACGGUAGCAUAUGAAUAAGCACCGGCUAACUCCGUGCCAGCAGCCGCGGUAAUCGGAGGGUGCAAGCGUUACUCGGAAUCACUGGGCGUAAAGGACGCGUAGGCGGGUUGGAAAGUCAGGUGAUGAAAUCCUACAGCUUAACUGUAGAACUGCACUUGAAACUUCUAAUCUAGAGUAUGGGAGGGGGAGAUGGAAUUAGUGGUGUAGGGGUAAAAUCCGUAGAUAUCACUAGGAAUACCUAAAGCGAAGGCGAUCUCCUGGAACAUUACUGACGCUAAGGCGUGAAAGCGUGGGGAGCAAACAGGAUUAGAUACCCGCGUAGUC